rnacentral:lncRNA from 1 species
AUCAUCAUUGGGGUAUGUAGUUUAAAAAAUGUGUCCGGUGACCCGGCCAACCAACCAAGAUGGCCGCCAUGGCUAAAAAUAGAACAUAGGGGUAAAAUGCAGUUUUUGGCUUAUACCUCAAAAACCAAAGCAUUUAGAGCAAAUCUGACGGGGUACAAUUGUUUAUCAGGUCAAGAUCUAUCUGCCCUCAAAUUUUCAGAUGAAUCCGACAUCUGGUUGUUGGAUUGCUGCCCCUGAAU